rnacentral:rRNA from 1 species
GGUGAACGCUGGCGGCGUGCCUAAGACAUGCAAGUCGAGCGGGCCGCGGGGUUUUACUCCGUGGUCAGCGGCGGACGGGUGAGUAACGCGUGGGUGACCUACCCGGAAGAGGGGGACAACCCGGGGAAACUCGGGCUAAUCCCCCAUGUGGACCCGCCCCUUGGGGUGUGUCCAAAGGGCUUUGCCCGCUUCCGGAUGGGCCCGCGUCCCAUCAGCUAGUUGGUGGGGUAAUGGCCCACCAAGGCGACGACGGGUAGCCGGCCUGAGAGGGUGGCCGGCCACAGGGGCACUGAGACACGGGCCCAACUCCUACGGGAGGAAGCAGUUAGGAAUCUUCCGCAAUGGGCGCAAGCCUGACGGAGCGACGCCGCUGGGAGGAAGAAGCCCUUCGGGGUGUAAACUCAUGAACCCGGGACGAAACCCCCGACGAGGGGACUGACGGUACCGGGGUAAUAGCGCCGGCCAACUCCGUG